rnacentral:rRNA from 1 species
CGAACGAAAAGACGGAAAGAGCUUGCUCUUUUCAGAAUUGAGUGGCAAACGGGUGAGUAACACGUAAACAACCUGCCUUCAGGAUGGGGACAACAGACGGAAACGACUGCUAAUACCGAAUAAGUUCCAAGGGCCGCAUGGCCCAUGGAAGAAAAGGUGGCCUCUACCUGUAAGCUAUCGCCUGAAGAGGGGUUUGCGUCUGAUUAGCUGGUUGGAGGGGUAACGGCCCACCAAGGCGACGAUCAGUAGCCGGUCUGAGAGGAUGAACGGCCACACUGGAACUGAGACACGGUCCAGACUCCUACGGGAGGCAGCAGUGGGGAAUCUUCCGCAAUGGGCGAAAGCCUGACGGAGCAACGCCGCGUGAGUGAUGACGGCCUUCGGGUUGUAAAACUCUGUGAUCCGGGACGAAAAGGCAGAGUGCGAAGAACAAACUGCAUUGACGGUACCGGAAAAGCAAGCCACGGCUAACUACGUGCCAGCAGCCGCGGUAAUACGUAGGUGGCAAGCGUUGUCCGGAAUUAUUGGGCGUAAAGCGCGCGCAGGCGGCUUCCCAAGUCCCUCUUAAAAGUGCGGGGCUUAACCCCGUGAUGGGAAGGAAACUGGGAAGCUGGAGUAUCGGAGAGGAAAGCGGAAUUCCUAGUGUAGCGGUGAAAUGCGUAGAGAUUAGGAAGAACACCGGUGGCGAAGGCGACUUUCUGGACGAAAACUGACGCUGAGGCGCGAAAGCGUGGGGAGCAAACAGAAUUAGAUACCCUGGUAGUCCACGCCGUAAACGAUGGGAUACUAGGUGUAGGAGGAUUGGACCCCUCCUGUGCCGGAGUUAACGCAAUAAGUAUCCCGCCUGGGGAAGUACGAUCGCAAGAUUUAAAACUCAAAGGAAUUGACGGGGGCCCGCACAAGCGGUGGAGUAUGUGGUUUAAUUCGACGCAACGCGAAGAACCUUACCAGGUCUUGACAUUGAUCGCGAUCUGCAGAAAUGCGG